GACGAACGCUGGCGGCGUGCCUAAUACAUGCAAGUCGAACGCACAGUUUAUACCGUAGCUUGCUACACCAUACACUGUGAGUUGCGAACGGGUGAGUAACGCGUAGGUAACCUGCCUGGUAGCGGGGGAUAACUAUUGGAAACGAUAGCUAAUACCGCAUAAUAUUAAUUAUUGCAUGAUAAUUGAUUGAAAGAUGCAAUUGCAUCACUACCAGAUGGACCUGCGUUGUAUUAGCUAGUAGGUGAGGUAACGGCUCACCUAGGCGACGAUACAUAGCCGACCUGAGAGGGUGAUCGGCCACACUGGGACUGAGACACGGCCCAGACUCCUACGGGAGGCAGCAGUAGGGAAUCUUCGGCAAUGGACGAAAGUCGGACCGAGCAACGCCGCGUGAGUGAAGAAGGUUUUCGGAUCGUAAAGCUCUGUUGUAAGAGAAGAACGGGUGUGAGAGUGGAAAGUUCACACUGUGACGGUAACUUACCAGAAAGGGACGGCUAACUACGUG
rnacentral:rRNA from 1 species